rnacentral:misc_RNA from 1 species
GAUGAAGAACGCAGCGAAAUGCGAUACGUAGUGUGAAUUGCAAAAUUCCGUGAAUCAUCGAAUCUUUGAACGCAACUUGCACUCUGUUUCGGCAGAGUAUGCCUGUUUGAGAAUCUAUAUAUCAAUACAACGUUUUGUUGUGAUCUGAGCUCUGGUGACAACCUGGCUUUAAAUAUAUAGCUUCGGGCUUUGUAAAUGAUUACGUCCCGAACCAGAGAGAUGAAGGGGCAACCCACUUCCUUUGGGAACUGACUAGUUUAUAGAGCUUUGAACUCACCUAUUAAGUACUUAGUACUGAAACCUAGGUCUCAAAUCAGGUAGGAGGACCCGCUGAACUUAAGCAUAUCAAUAAGCGGAGGA